CUUCUUCUGGUGCUUUCUGUAGUUCUGUUGGAUAGACUUCACAGUUAUCCUCUGCCCUUCAGAUUUUAGAGGCACAUGGGCUGGAAAUGAAGAAUGGAAAUGAUCAUGCCAACCCUCAGAUUUUGUCCCAUUGGGGUGGGGAUCUUAACCAAACAAAACCAGCCAAAAAGUUUCAGAACAGAGAGUGAGGAUCUUUUCAGAAGCACGGCUGAAGAGGUCAUGUAUGAGGAAUCAAAGUGGGAACUGAAACCAGAGUGUGUAACUGACCCUCAGGAGAGAUUUAGCACUGUGCUGCCUGCCCUCUGCCUGGGCGCUAAACUGGGAGAAUAAGACGCCCAACCAUGAGAAAUGACUGUUUAUGUUUGAAGUCAGCAUGCUCUGGACUGAGUGGGCACUCUUUCUCCUGACUUUACCCAACUUCUUCUUCAGAUGUACUUGGUUCAAAUGUGACAAAUGCUAUCCUCAUGAAAAAUAGAGGAGAAAUCAUUAGAUGAAAAAUUUACUGAAAAAGGAAACAACAGCUGGAGUAAGUGAGAGAAAAAAUUGACUAAGAAAGGUAAUAUGAUGUGAUUAGAAGAAAAGGAAAUAGAUAUUGGUCUAAGUCUAUAUGAAGUGUUGAACCUUUGGAGAAGUUUACAGCUUACUGAUAUGAAGUAGAAAUUGAUUUCUUUUCAUCAUUUUUAGUAUCAUUUGUUACUUUAAAUUUUUGACGUCAUUGAAGCUGAAGUAUAGACCUUGCUUCUCUUUGUCAAGGGGAUAUGAUUAAAAAGCUAUUUCAAUACGCAGAAUUUAAAUCCCAAUUAGUAGUGGACACCUAACUUGCAUAUGUUAAAUGUACACUUUUAAAGUGAAAGAUUCUAAAUUUUAUGUUAUUUCCGUAUAUCUGCCAGGACUUCACGUUCCAUGUGCUUUCCUCUUUAAAAAAAAGUCCAGUGAGCUGCAAAGGGAACUACAAUCAGGCUUGCAUAUAUUACUGCUCUAUAGAAUCAAAACCCCUGAGAGCUUGUUUUGUGUUUUAUCUUCCCCAAAGACUUGUUAGCAGAGAACUGGUGAAAUGUUGAUAUCACAGGAGAAUGACAUCGGAACAAUUACAUGAAGGAAUUUUAGUUGCAUUGUUUACAGCUUUUGGGCAGAGGGAGAGGAUGUCACCAGAAUACUGGAGGGAGUAAGAAAAUUUGUAAGGGAAAUCAAAGAUCAGGGAGCAAGAACAUAAGGAUUUUUAAUCUCAACUUUUUGCCUUUGGUACACAAAGUAGAAAAACAGAACAAGAUGGUUCAUACCGGUUUAAAAGCAGAUUAAUGUUAAAGAACGCAGGUUUCUGUUCUUGUUUUAUGUAUUGACAUCCUUCUAAGUGCUCUGACCAGAGUCAUCCUGUGUCUUAAAAUCAUGUUUUAGCAGAGAAAUAUAAAUAUCCCCAAGCAUCUAAUCUUCCAAAGCAAUAUGAGCGAUAUAGCCAUAGCGUUUCAGUAUUUUAAAACUUGCUUCAACCUGAGAUGAUUCAAGUUGCUGACUUUCGAGAGGACAUAGACAAGAGCCUCUCGCUUAACUCCCUUUAAUUCUAAGGUCCGGUUGCUUGGCUUUAUUCAAUGUUAAGCCCCCAAAGCAAAGAGACUUUACUACACGGACUAAAAAAAGCCCCUCUCUUCCUUCUCCAACAAGCUGACCUGAAUUCUGAAUAGCUGUACUUUAUGCCCCUGGAAUUAAACAAAAAUAACUGCAAUUAAUAUCUCUUCUGCCAUAUGCCGUCUUUCAGUAGAAUAAUUUAUUAUUACCUUGUUUAAAAAUAGGUUUUUCAAUUAAUGGUCUUUUAGCAAAUAAAAACACUUUAUGGCUGGUGUGAGGUGCAUAAGCAAAUGUAAGAAGACCAGUUGCAUUCAACUUCAAGACUUAGUAACUCAGAUAAUUAUGCAGAACUAAUUAAUUCAAAAUCUGUUUAUCAACAAUAGAGUGUAGCUCCAGCAUUUCAUCCCAGAGGCAUUAACAAAGGCUUAUCACCUGCUUUUGUGUUGCAUUUUUGUCUCAAAGGCAAAUCAAUUGACAAAGGAUGUAAAAAAUGCCAUUCCCAUAACUAACACUUUAUAGAACUUGCAGGAACUUUUAAUAGCUGCUACCAAUUAAUUUCCCUGGCUUAAAUUAAAAUAAUUUCUAAAUGGAAAUGAGAUGUGCUAAAAACAUCAACACAUUCACUACUAAUAUAUGUGCUAUGUGAAAAGGAAAUUUGAAAUACAAAGAAAUAUUUAAAGAAUUUAAAUAAUUGCUUAAGCAUUAGGCUGUUAUUCCUGUCAAAAUAUUCACUGUGCAGAACUUGUGCAGCACUAUACAUGCUUUAAACCUUUCUGUUGAAGAACUAUGUUGAUGCUAUUAUUUUUAUUACUCUGUCUUUUUUGCUGCGCAUUCUGCUCUUUCUUUUCCUCAUGUUGUUCUUUGAGCUGCAGUUUUUCAUUUCCUAUUACCUGUACCGCAAUAGAAAUGUUAACUAACAACAGUAGAUGUAUACAAAGUGCCUGUCAUGGGUGGUUUUCACAUUUUUCUGCAGGUUUAUCAUGUAAUCUAACAUGUGAGUAGCUUAGUGUCUGCUUGAGUGUUCAGUGUGAGGUGUCAAACAUUCAUCUAAGAUAAGGUAGUUCUGCACCUGAGAGGUUUGUAUUUAUUUUCCAUCAAUAUACAUAAAGCAUUAUUAUAUGAAACAGAUACACGAAUCUCUACUUUAAUGAUCUAACCUGCAGAAUAUCAAGGGCAGCUGACUUCAGCGCAUUUGUGGAGUCUCCUCACAGAAUCCUGUUUCCAGUGUCUUUCUAAAUACUGAGUUCAAACUGAACCAGUAGCCAUAGCUACAUAAUUACAACAAUCGCAUAUGGAAUCUGUAGAUCAAAUCCUAUUCCUGAUGAAAUUUGUUACAUAAAGUGCUUUUAGCAUGACUCAGAUACCCACAUCAUCCUACAGAUAAUCAUAUGUGCAUUCAUGUAUGUGCACAAUUAGCCACGUGCAUAAACUUUGACAAGAUUAGAGCCACUGUCACAAAUAUUGUGCUCAUGAUUAUUUUCUUAUCAAUCCUUUCAUUGUUUUUUGCAUCAGUUGGUAAUUUCUUGCUAAUAAUUCAUGCACUUCGUUGGAAUUGACUUCCUUUCUAGAGAGAUCAGUGACAUGCAUUAACAUAAUUCUGCGUUGAGGUAUAUUGCUAUUAAUAUUGCCAGCUCAUAUUUAAACAAGGUUUUGGAGUAAAAUAUAACUGUUUCCUCAGUAUAUUUUAGUUUGGUGUGAUUUGGGCCGAUAACAGGUAAGAAAGACCAGUUCAAGGAGAAGGAAAUACAGAUGGUCUGGAUUUUACUGCAGGUGUCAGACACAUUCCCUUUUGCAGAUGAGCUACAUUUACUUAAGUAUUAGCCACAGCUUGAAAAUGUGUGGAACAAAGAUUAGGAGGAAUCAUGGACUGUGCUCAGUGUGGUAAAGUAAACAAUUAAUUCAGCAACAAUGAAAUUAGAUACACCCCAAAAUACUCUUUGUAUUGCCUGCUCACAAGAAGCUAUAGGUAGGGCAAAGAGAAGUGACAGUUAAGGGUUAAAUUAUGAAAUUUUGCAAUUUAUUUCUUAUCAUUUAUGAGAUUGUUAAAUGUCAGAAAGUGGAUUUUUUUUUUUUUACUAUCAGUAUAAAACUGAACAUACUGUGAGACAUAAGGUAGCAGGUGUCUUGGCUCUAAACUAUCAAGUCUGUGGGCAUUCUGUUAUAACAGGUGCUCCAAAAAUUUGAACAGAUUUUAACAAGAGCUGUAUGGGCUUUUUAAUUAGCCUGGUUACUCAGCAUGUGGAGAAAGCACUAGGUAUGUGCUUAAAACAUCAUUGUGUCUUGCAAACAAAUGUUUCACAUACUUACAGUCAUUCUUCUUGGUUAUCUUAGAAUUCCUUUCUAUUUGAUGCUAGGGUUUGACCCUUCUAUUCAUUUCUCUUAUCUAUUCUACCUGAAAAGAAUCAUCAUACUAAAAAAAAUAGUUGCAUGUUGUAGAAUCUCCUCUUGGGUAGACAGCAUUUAAUAAUUUGGAUUUACCUGAUAUUUAGCUGUCAUUUUACUUGGCAUCAUAAAACUACAACAAGCCGUGCACCACAGAAAUUCUCUGCUCAGAGUACAAAGUGUCUUUUCUUCACAUUCAGUUAUAUUUUUUUCCACUAUUGUAUAUCAUCAGAUUUUUGUCUAUUAAAGAUGAAGCAAUAAACUAAAUAAAAAAUCAUUAAAAUAAUAAUGUUUUAAUGCUAUAGAAAUUAAUGUAAGUUUAGGACUAUCUUGCAUGAUAUGAAA